GGGUUGUGAGGUUAAGCGACUAAGCGUACACGGUGGAUGCCCUGGCAGUCAGAGGCGAUGAAGGACGUGCUAAUCUGCGAAAAGCGUCGGUAAGGUGAUAUGAACCGUUAUAACCGGCGAUGUCCGAAUGGGGAAACCCAGUGCAAUUCGUUGCACUAUCGUUAACUGAAUACAUAGGUUAACGAGGCGAACCGGGGGAACUGAAACAUCUAAGUACCCCGAGGAAAAGAAAUCAACCGAGAUUCCCCCAGUAGCGGCGAGCGAACGGGGAGCAGCCCAGAGUCUGAAUCAGCUUGUGUGUUAGUGGAACGGUCUGGAAAGUCCGACGGUACAGGGUGAUAGUCCCGUACACCAAAAUGCACAGGCUGUGAACUCGAAGAGUAGGGCGGGACACGUGGUAUCCUGUCUGAAUAUGGGGGGACCAUCCUCCAAGGCUAAAUACUCCUGACUGACCGAUAGUGAACCAGUACCGUGAGGGAAAGGCGAAAAGAACCCCGGCGAGGGGAGUGAAAAAGAACCUGAAACCGUGUACGUACAAGCAGUGGGAGCACCUUCGGGUGUGACUGCGUACCUUUUGUAUAAUGGGUCAGCGACUUAUAUUCUGUAGCAAGGUUAACCGUAUAGGGGAGCCGCAGGGAAACCGAGUCUUAACUGGGCGUUAAGUUGCAGGGUAUAGACCCGAAACCCGGUGAUCUAGCCAUGGGCAGGUUGAAGGUUGGGUAACACUAACUGGAGGACCGAACCGACUAAUGUUGAAAAAUUAGCGGAUGACUUGUGGCUGGGGGUGAAAGGCCAAUCAAACCGGGAGAUAGCUGGUUCUCCCCGAAAGCUAUUUAGGUAGCGCCUCGUGAAUUCAUCUUCGGGGGUAGAGCACUGUUUCGGCUAGGGGGUCAUCCCGACUUACCAACCCGAUGCAAACUACGAAUACCGAAGAAUGUUAUCACGGGAGACACACGGCGGGUGCUAACGUCCGUCGUGAAGAGGGAAACAACCCAGACCGCCAGCUAAGGUCCCAAAGUCAUGGUUAAGUGGGAAACGAUGUGGGAAGGCACAGACAGCCAGGAUGUUGGCUUAGAAGCAGCCAUCAUUUAAAGAAAGCGUAAUAGCUCACUGGUCGAGUCGGCCUGCGCGGAAGAUGUAACGGGGCUAAACCAUGCACCGAAGCUGCGGCAGCGACACUAUGUGUUGUUGGGUAGGGGAGCGUUCUGUAAGCCUGCGAAGGUGGCCUGUGAGGGUUGCUGGAGGUAUCAGAAGUGCGAAUGCUGACAUAAGUAACGAUAAAGCGGGUGAAAAGCCCGCUCGCCGGAAGACCAAGGGUUCCUGUCCAACGUUAAUCGGGGCAGGGUGAGUCGACCCCUAAGGCGAGGCCGAAAGGCGUAGUCGAUGGGAAACAGGUUAAUAUUCCUGUACUUGGUGUUACUGCGAAGGGGGGACGGAGAAGGCUAUGUUAGCCGGGCGACGGUUGUCCCGGUUUAAGCAUGUAGGCUGGUUGUCCAGGCAAAUCCGGAUAAUCAAGGCUGAGGUGUGAUGACGAGGCACUACGGUGCUGAAGUAACAAAUGCCCUGCUUCCAGGAAAAGCCUCUAAGCAUCAGGUAACAUUAAAUCGUACCCCAAACCGACACAGGUGGUCAGGUAGAGAAUACCAAGGCGCUUGAGAGAACUCGGGUGAAGGAACUAGGCAAAAUGGUGCCGUAACUUCGGGAGAAGGCACGCUGGUGUGUAGGUGAAGUCCCUGCGGAUGGAGCUGAGACCAGUCGAAGAUACCAGCUGGCUGCAACUGUUUAUUAAAAACACAGCACUGUGCAAACACGAAAGUGGACGUAUACGGUGUGACGCCUGCCCGGUGCCGGAAGGUUAAUUGAUGGGGUUAUCCGUAAGGAGAAGCUCUUGAUCGAAGCCCCGGUAAACGGCGGCCGUAACUAUAACGGUCCUAAGGUAGCGAAAUUCCUUGUCGGGUAAGUUCCGACCUGCACGAAUGGCGUAAUGAUGGCCAGGCUGUCUCCACCCGAGACUCAGUGAAAUUGAACUCGCUGUGAAGAUGCAGUGUACCCGCGGCAAGACGGAAAGACCCCGUGAACCUUUACUAUAGCUUGACACUGAACAUUGAGCCUUGAUGUGUAGGAUAGGUGGGAGGCUUUGAAGCGUGGACGCCAGUCUGCGUGGAGCCAACCUUGAAAUACCACCCUUUAAUGUUUGAUGUUCUAACGUUGGCCCCUGACCGGGGUUGCGGACAGUGUCUGGUGGGUAGUUUGACUGGGGCGGUCUCCUCCCAAAGCGUAACGGAGGAGCACGAAGGUUAGCUAAUCCUGGUCGGACAUCAGGAGGUUAGUGCAAUGGCAUAAGCUAGCUUGACUGCGAGCGUGACGGCGCGAGCAGGUGCGAAAGCAGGUCAUAGUGAUCCGGUGGUUCUGAAUGGAAGGGCCAUCGCUCAACGGAUAAAAGGUACUCCGGGGAUAACAGGCUGAUACCGCCCAAGAGUUCAUAUCGACGGCGGUGUUUGGCACCUCGAUGUCGGCUCAUCACAUCCUGGGGCUGAAGUAGGUCCCAAGGGUAUGGCUGUUCGCCAUUUAAAGUGGUACGCGAGCUGGGUUUAGAACGUCGUGAGACAGUUCGGUCCCUAUCUGCCGUGGGCGCUGGAGAAUUGAGGGGGGCUGCUCCUAGUACGAGAGGACCGGAGUGGACGCAUCACUGGUGUUCGGGUUGUCAUGCCAAUGGCACUGCCCGGUAGCUAAAUGCGGAAGAGAUAAGUGCUGAAAGCAUCUAAGCACGAAACUUGCCCCGAGAUGAGUUCUCCCUGAGACUUUAAGUCUCCUGAAGGAACGUUAAAGACGAUGACGUUGAUAGGCCGGGUGUGUAAGCGCAGCGAUGCGUUGAGCUAACCGGUACUAAUGAACCGUGAGGCUUAACCUUACAACGCCGAAG
rnacentral:rRNA from 1 species